AGAACUGUAUAGAUCUUUCUGUUGACUUAAAUGGAUUUUAGAUGAUGGUCCCUGGAGUCAGGUUACACCGAGCUGACAGUCUUGAUUUCAAAUGAAAUAAUGUGACUCCCUCCAAUGAGGAAGCACAGAAUCAUGUUUGUCUCAUAUCUGCACUAAACUCAUUGACAACACCUACCUGACCAUCUUUUUAGAAAUGAUUGCUUCUUCUAUUUACAAGUUACAAUUUGACAACCUGGGUUUGCUUGGUUUGUUCGAUGAAUCACAUUUCAAGAGACCACCGCACAGCAUUUUUGGGACAGGAAAAUAGGAUGUAUCUGAAAAGAACGCAAAUACGCACUUAAACUUUGGGAACAGUAAGCAAAAUUUAUAUUGGUGACUAAAGUUUUGCACUAGUCAUGCUAAUUUGACAGACAGUGAAAAAUAAGGCAUAGCAUAAAAGAAGCAUAAAAGAGAAGUCUUGUGACAGCCAUGAAGAAAAAGAAAGAAAGGAUGAGGAAGAGCUUCGCCUUCUCGAGGGCUUAGUAAAAACUGACAGUCAUCUGAUUGUACCGGUGAGGCAGUACCGCACUUGGUUAGGCCAAUUCAUAUUAGCUGAGACUGCUAAGACUUUCAUUCAGAAAAUAAGCAAGAUAAAAAGCUGAACUCUUGCUUUUCAUUGGACUUGUUUCCUUUUUCUUCGAAGCUGACUUCAUAAUUUCAGAGUUAUUUAACAGCAUCCUCACCUCCAUCACUCUCAGAGUCUUCUCUUCUAUCCCGUGAGCCCUCAGAAGCAGAAAGAGUAAAAUGACAGAACAACAGUAAGACUGUAAAGAUUUCUGGGGGUCAGGGAAGAAAGGGUAUGGGUUUAUGAUCUGAAGGUCAGCUCAAUGCAUUCUCCCGGGGGGCCAUUUCCUGGAAUGUAAAUAUAUAAUUUAAUGUAUAUUGUGUCAGCAGCAUUUUUGAGGCCUGAUCCAGCACCAAUAAUUGUGACCUUCCAGGAGAGGUAACCUCUGGGUUCUCAUUAGUAUUACGGGCUUAUAAUUCUGCACUCAUUUGCACUUCCGCUCUGUGUGAUCAAUCUUUGGCAGCUCACCUAUCCAGCAAGAGGCCAGCAAGCUGGAAACAGAUAUGCGUUCCCUUCUUAUCUCCUGCCAUAACUGUAUGUCAAGUUAAUAUGGCAUAUUUUGAGGAAUAAAAACUUCCAUGAAAACA
ensembl:lncRNA